rnacentral:snoRNA from 15 species
CAGUCCAUCCUAAUCCCUGCUGGCCAGGCCGUGGCCCACCAGGGUUCGCUUGUGGACCAGAUCACCCUAGGAGCCUUGCCCAGCGGAUCGGUCAGACUUUUGGUGGCCUCACUCCAUGGGCAUGCUCCCAGGACAGC